UACGUAGGGGGCGAGCGUUAUCCGGAAUUACUGGGCGUAAAGAGCUCGUAGGUGGUUUGUCGCGUUGUUCGUGAAAACUCACGGCUUAACUGUGAGCGUGCGGGCGAUACGGGCAGACUGGAGUACUGCAGGGGAGGACUGGAAUUCCUGGUGUAGCGGUGGAAUGCGCAGAUAUCAGGAGGAACACCGGUGGCGAAGGCGGGUCUCUGGGCAGUAACUGACGCUGAGGAGCGAAAGCGUGGGGAGCGAACAGG
rnacentral:rRNA from 1 species